UACGUAGGGCGCAAGCGUUGUCCGGAAUUAUUGGGCGUAAAGAGCUCGUAGGCGGUUCGUCGCGUCGGCUGUGAAAACCCGGAGCUCAACUCCGGGCCUGCAGUCGAUACGGGCGGACUCGAGUUCGGCAGGGGAGACUGGAAUUCCUGGUGUAGCGGUGAAAUGCGCAGAUAUCAGGAGGAACACCGGUGGCGAAGGCGGGUCUCUGGGCCGAUACUGACGCUGAGGAGCGAAAGCGUGGGGAGCGAACAGG
rnacentral:rRNA from 1 species